CUUGGAACGGACGGGUGGAUGGAUGGAUGACUAUGUGUUGGAAUGCCAUGUGCUGUGAAGAUGACGAAGGAGAAAGUUUGUAGAAGUUUAAGUCGAUAGUCAGCUGGCUCCAACACAGGACAGUAUGGCAGAGUGGCAGCACAGAGGAGAAACAGUCCAUGGAAGGCAAAUACCCUGAGCCUAGGAAGAAACCACCAACUGCUAUGUGUCGGGCAGAUGUCUGGAUACAGAAGUCAACAAGCUGAGCAAGAUCCCUGGGCCUGGGAUUACAGUGGGGAAGACAGCAUCCUGCCUUUCCUUCCAUAAACUGCUUCUGCUGAAUUCCACAUGGCUCUGGAAGAACUAUCUCAGCACUCUGGCCCAGGAAUCCAUGGCUUCAAAAAGCUGAAGUCAGCUUCUCAGGAAUUUGAAUUGUAAAUGGAGUGCAAUACAGACAGAAGGUGGCUGAAGACAAAUGAGGUGGAUGGCAGCAUUCAAACAGAGAUGAUCUGCGAUUUGUGCAACCUUGGGCAAGUUGUGUAUGCUGUUAAUAUUCUCACCUGUUACAUGGGGACAGUGACAUCUACCCUCUCACAGGGCUGUUCAAGAUUUAAAUAAGGCAAUGUAUUAAAAGGGCCAA